GUUGACCUCGGAUCAGGUAGGAAUACGCGCUGAACUUAAGCAUAUCAAUAAGCGCAGGAAAAGAAACCAACAGGGAUUACCUCAGUAACGGCGAGUGAAGCGGUAAUAGCUCAAAUUUGAAAUCUGGCCUCUCGGGGUCCGAGUUGUAAUUUGUAGAGGAUGUUUUGGGUACCGCCCCGGUCUAAAUUUCUUGGAACAGAAUGUCAAAGAGGGUGAGAAUCCCGUCUUGGACCGGCGGUAGGGCCUGUGUAAAACUCCUUCGACGAGUCGAGUUGUUUGGGAAUGCAGCUCAAAAUGGGUGGUAAAUUUCAUCUAAAGCUAAAUAUUGGCCAGAGACCGAUAGCGCACAAGUAGAGUGAUCGAAAGAUGAAAAGCACUUUGAAAAGAGAGUUAAACAGUAUGUGAAAUUGUUGAAAGGGAAGCGCUUGCAACCAGACUUGAGCGCGGCGGUUCCCCCGGUCUUUUGGCCGGGCUACUCCGUCGUGUCCAGGCCAACAUCGGUUCUGAGGGUCGGUCAAAGGCCUUGGGAAUGUAUCUACCUACGGGUAGACUUAUAGACCAGGGUGUCAUGCGGCCUCUCGGGACCGAGGAACGCGCUUCGGCUCGGAUGUUGGCGUAAUGGUUGUCAGCGACCCGUCUUGAAACACGGACCAAGGAGUCUAACAUCUAUGCGAGUGUUUGGGUGUCAAACCCGGAACGCGAAAUGAAAGUGAACGGAGGUAGGAAGCUUCGGCUGCACUAUCGACCGAUCCUGAAGUUUACGGAUGGAUUUGAGUAAGAGCAUAGCUGUUGGGACCCGAAAGAUGGUGAACUAUGCCUGAAUAGGGUGAAGCCAGAGGAAACUCUGGUGGAGGCUCGCAGCGGUUCUGACGUGCAAAUCGAUCGUCAAAUUUGGGUAUAGGG
rnacentral:rRNA from 1 species